rnacentral:rRNA from 1 species
AACGAACGCUGGCGGCAUGCUUAACACAUGCAAGUCGAACGGGGUACAUGUGCUUGCACAUGUACUUAGGUGGCAGACGGGUGAGUAACGCGUGGGAACGUACCUUUUGGUUCAGGACAACGGCUGGAAACGGUCGCUAAUACUGAAUACGCCCUUAGGGGAAAGAUUUAUUGCCAAGAGAGCGGCCCGCGUUAGAUUAGGUAGUUGGUGGGGUAAUGGCUUACAAGCCUGUGAUCUAUAGCUGGUUUGAGAGGAUGAUCAGCCACACUGGGACUGAGACACGGCCAGACUCCUACGGGAGGCAGCAGUGGGGAAUAUUGGACAAUGGGGGCAACCCUGAUCCAGCGAUGCCGCGUGAGUGAUGAAGGCCUCGGUUGU